rnacentral:misc_RNA from 1 species
UUUCCGUAGGUGAACCUGCGGAAGGAUCAUUAUUGUAUAACCGAGGUGCGAGGGCUGUCGCUGACCCGACAGGUCGUGCACGCCCGAGUGCCCUCACACGCAUCCAUCUCACCCCUAUGUGCACCACCGCGUGGGUCCCCCUUUGGCUUGUUCGGAGGGGGGCUUACGUUUUCACACAAACUUUGUAUGCAGUGUAGAAUGUAUUUUUUGUUUUUGCGAUCACGCAAUCAAUACAACUUUCAACAACGGAUCUCUUGGCUCUC